rnacentral:misc_RNA from 1 species
AGGCGAACGUCAUCAGAGGUGGGCAGAGGCCACGGGUCACACGUCGUGGCACGGACAUCUCCGCCCCGCCCUUGGACGCGAUGCCCUGUCGGAACUAUCUGUAGUGUCAGCAUUAUCUUCGAACAUACACGUCUUGCAACUAAAUUAAAAAAAAAAGUGAAGGGCGGUGCUAGGCGGGGACGGUACCGCGCGUGGCCUUUGGCUAUCCGCCC